GGCUUAGAAGCAGCCACCCUUUAAAGAAAGCGUAAUAGCUCACUAGUCGAGUCGGUCUGCGCGGAAGAUGUAACGGGGCUAAACCAUGCACCGAAGCUGUGGACUUGCACUAUGUGCAAGUGGUAGAGGAGCGUUCUGUAAGCCGUUGAAGGUGACUCGUGAGGGUUGCUGGAGGUAUCAGAAGUGCGAAUGCUGACAUAAGUAACGAUAAGGGGAGUGAAAAACUUCCCCGCCGGAAGACCAAGGGUUCCUAUCCCAUGCUAAUCAGGGUAGGGUAAGUCGGCCCCUAAGGCGAGGCAGAAAUGCGUAGUCGAUGGGAAACGGGUUAAUAUUCCCGUACCGACAAUACUGCGAUGGGGGGACGGAGAAAGCUAGGCAGGCAUGGCGUUGGUAGUCCAUGUGAAAGUGCGUAGGAAGGGGGAUUAGGCAAAUCCGGUUCCCUAUAUUCUGAGACACGAGACGAGCCACUACGGUGGUGAAGCUGUUGACGCUACGCUUCCAGGAAAAGCCUCUAAGCUUCAGGUAUUGUCGACCGUACUCGAAACCGACACAGGUGGUCAGGUAGAGCAUACCAAGGCGCUUGAGAGAACUCUGGUGAAGGAACUAGGCAAAAUAGUACCGUAACUUCGGGAGAAGGUACGCUCUUGUGUGUGAAGGACUUGCUCCGUAAGCAUAUGAGAGUCGCAGUGACCAGCUGGCUGCAACUGUUUAUUAAAAACACAGCACUCUGCAAACUCGUAAGAGGACGUAUAGGGUGUGACACCUGCCCGGUGCCGGAAGGUUAAUUGAUGGGGUUAGCGCAAGCGAAGCUCUUGAUCGAAGCCCCGGUAAACGGCGGCCGUAACUAUAACGGUCCUA
rnacentral:rRNA from 1 species